UACAGAGGUCUCAAGCGUUGUUCGGAUUCAUUGGGCGUAAAGGGUGUGUAGGUGGCGCCGUAAGUCGGGUGUGAAAUUUCGGAGCUUAACUCCGAAACUGCAUUCGAUACUGCGGUGCUUGAGGACUGGAGAGGAGACUGGAAUUCAUGGUGUAGCAGUGAAAUGCGUAGAGAUCAUGAGGAAGACCAGUGGCGAAGGCGGGUCUCUGGACAAUUCCUGACACUGAGACACGAAGGCCAGGGGAGCAAACGGG
rnacentral:rRNA from 1 species